CUGAGUGAGGGUUCCCUCCCAUGGGCCCAACCUCCCACCCGUGUUUACUUAUACUUUGUUGCUUCGGCGAGCCCACCAAGGGGGUUUAUCACCCCUGGUCGCUUGGGACGGAGGCAGCUCCUACCCGGGCCUGUUGCUCGCCGGAGGUCUUAACUACGAACCCUGAUCUCGAAUGGAAUGGUGUCUGAGUUGAUGAUGUACAAUCGUUA
rnacentral:misc_RNA from 1 species